rnacentral:rRNA from 1 species
AGUGAACGCUGGCGGCAGGCCUAAUACAUGCAAGUCGAACGGCAGCACAGCAGAGCUUGCUCUGUGGGUGGCGAGUGGCGGACGGGUGAGGAAUACGUGGGAAUCUGCCCAGUCGUGGGGAUAACGUAGGGAAACUUACGCUAAUACCGCAUGCGCCCUUCGGGGGAAAGCCGGGGACCUUCGGGCCUGGCGCGAUUGGAUGAGCCCACGUCGGAUUAGCUAGUUGGCGGGGUAAAGGCCCACCAAGGCGACGAUCCGUAGCUGGUCUGAGAGGACGAUCAGCCACACUGGAACUGAGACACGGUCCAGACUCCUACGGGAGGCAGCAGUAGGGAAUAUUGGACAAUGGGCGCAAGCCUGAUCCAGCCAUGCCGCGUGAGUGAAGAAGGCCCUCGGGUUGUAAAGCUCUUUUGUCCGGGAAGAAAGCGCCGGGUUAAUACCCUGGUGUCCUGACGGUACCGGAGAAUAAGCACCGGCUAACUUCGUGCCAGCAGCCGCGGUAA